rnacentral:rRNA from 1 species
UGGAGGACCGAACCGACUAAUGUUGAAAAAUUAGCGGAUGACUUGUGGCUAGGGGUGAAAGGCCAAUCAAACCUGGAGAUAGCUGGUUCUCCCCGAAAGCUAUUUAGGUAGCGCCUCGGACGAAUACUACUGGGGGUAGAGCACUGUUAAGGCUAGGGGGUCAUCCCGACUUACCAACCCUUUGCAAACUCCGAAUACCAGUAAGUACUAUCCGGGAGACACACGGCGGGUGCUAACGUCCGUCGUGGAGAGGGAAACAACCCAGACCGCCAGCUAAGGUCCCAAAUUACUACUAAGUGGGAAACGAUGUGGGAAGGCUCAGACAGCCAGGAUGUUGGCUUAGAAGCAGCCAUCAUUUAAAGAAAGCGUAAUAGCUCACUGGUCGAGUCGGCCUGCGCGGAAGAUGUAACGGGGCUAAGUAGUAAACCGAAGCUGCGGCAAUG